CCUGAUGGUCAUAGUGCAGUGGAACUACCUGAACCCAUCCCGAACUCAGAAGUAAAAUGCUGUCACGCCGAUGGUAGUGUGGUGAUUCGCCAUGUGAGAGUAGGUCGUCAUCAGGG
rnacentral:rRNA from 1 species